UACGUAGGGUGCAAGCGUUAAUCGGAAUUACUGGGCGUAAAGCGUGCGCAGGCGGUUGUGCAAGACAGAUGUGAAAUCCCCGGGCUCAACCUUGGAACUGCAUUUGUGACUGCACGGCUGGAGUGCGGCAGAGGGGGAUGGAAUUCCGCGUGUAGCAGUGAAAUGCGUAGAUAUGCGGAGGAACACCGAUGGCGAAGGCAAUCCCCUGGGCCUGCACUGACGCUCAUGCACGAAAGCGUGGGGAGCAAACAGG
rnacentral:rRNA from 1 species